rnacentral:rRNA from 1 species
GACGAACGCUGGCGGCGUGCUUAACACAUGCAAGUCGAACGGAAAGGCCCUGCUUUUGUGGGGUGCUCGAGUGGCGAACGGGUGAGUAACACGUGAGUAACCUGCCCUUGACUUUGGGAUAACUUCAGGAAACUGGGGCUAAUACCGGAUAGGAGCUCCUGCUGCAUGGUGGGGGUUGGAAAGUUUCGGCGGUUGGGGAUGGACUCGCGGCUUAUCAGCUUGUUGGUGGGGUAGUGGCUUACCAAGGCUUUGACGGGUAGCCGGCCUGAGAGGGUGACCGGACCAACUAGGCUUGAGCUAAGGCACAGACUCCUCCGGGAGGCAGGAGUGGGGAAUAUUAUACAAUGGGAGGAAGCCUGAUGCAGUCCCGCCGUGCGGGGGAUGACGGCAUGCGGUUAGUAAACCGAUUCCGUUUGUUACGAAGCGUGAGUGACGGUAACGGGAAAAGAAGCACCGGCUAACUUCGUG